rnacentral:rRNA from 1 species
UACGUAGGUGGCAAGCGUUGUCCGGAAUUAUUGGGCGUAAAGCGCGCGCAGGCGGUCUCUUAAGUCUGAUGUGAAAGCCCACGGCUCAACCGUGGAGGGUCAUUGGAAACUGGGGGACUUGAGUGCAGAAGAGGGAAAGCGGAAUUCCACGUGUAGCGGUGAAAUGCGUAGAUAUCUGGAGGAACACCGGUGGCGAAGGCGGCAUCCUGGACCGACACUGACGCUGAGGAGCGAAAGCCAGGGGAGCAAAGCGGGA